CACGGGUCCUUCGGAAUGCUCACGCUGGGGGAAGCCAGCCAUCACGCGAGACGUAUUCCCAAGUAUUCUGGGCCCCCAUGCUGUAGGGAAGCCAAACUAGUCAUGUAGGGAGGCUGUGGAGAGAGAGAGAUUCUUGACCAGUCCCCCUCCCCUCAGCCACCCCACUGGUCCCAGACCGAGAAUCACACAUUCGAACAGAAAAGUGUUCGCAUCUCUCCAGCCCCAGCCGCCUUUAAUGGCACCUGCGCCAGCAUUCCUAGUUGCAAUCUCCGUAUUUCCCAGUCAAGUCCCUGCCUGAUGGUACAGCUACUUCCCAAUCCACGUGGAGCCCUGCCUCUGCUGAGCUGCCCUCAACUCCCUUUGGCCUCUCAGUGGCUCUGCACGGCUCACCUUAUGCCCACUGGAGACAGAACCCAUGAUGGAGACAGAUGAAGCCACACCGGAGGUCUUCCAAAGGGGCAAUCCCAGAGGCAGAGAGGAAUUCAUGAAGAUUUCUCUCAAGAUCCAAGAAGCUUUUUUAAAAAAGAGAGUCUUUGGGGGCUCGUUUUGGUUAAAUACUACAUUAAGAAAUAGGUGCCUUCUUUUGGCUUUGUAUUUCCUUUUGUUUCCACCUCCAGCUAUCUGUACUUUGAUCUGGUCCACAUGUCAGUCCCAAGACUGACAUCACAAUGACAAAAGCUUGACUGUGAGUGAAGAACACAGCCGAACGGAUAUAUGGCAGCAAGCAUUCCGUAUCCAGGGGCGCUCGGAAUGUUCGAGAAUGUUCAUCACUUCUUCCUAUCCUUUAGCUAUCAGUAUCACACAGGAAGGAAUCUGGUUUUCCUCCUUUUCAGAGACAGCCUCACAGCCACACUGAGAUAAUGGGUUUCACGUGGAGUUUUCUGGGCUGUGGACAAGGGGAAGGCUUGGGUUUAGGGUGAAGAGCCUAUCUUGGAUUUUGGAGUGGAAAUGUUUGGCUCUGUGCCCUCAUGCUACAACGAGCUGGUUAGGGGACCCUCGGAUCUGAAAACAGAGCCCCUUGGCGUGAUUAACAUUAAGUGAGAUAAUAAACGGGAAGCACUGAAUCUGGUUCCUCAAACCUAAGGGUCCUGAAGAAAUUACAGCUAAAGACAAUUUUAUCGUAGUUUUCAAUGCUAUUAUUUUGUUAAAAGGUUUGUUCCCGUCUGUUUCCUGAUCCCCGUAUGUCAAGGUAGGAAAACUCCUUCAGAUUCGUCACCCACAGUUCCACCCCGAGAGGACUCCCGUGGAGUGCUCUCCCCUGUGUUUCCGUCUCUGAGUCCGUGAGUCUCAUCUGCCUCAUUUCUUUUCAGAGUAUGCCCCAGACACCCAAAUCUCACAACAGAUGGAUCUACUUCUCUUAAUCCCAGAGUCCUUUCCUUCUGGCUGUGAGAGAUUGCGUCUCGGCUAAUUUUCCCGGAGUCUUUCUGAAGAGCCGCGAGGAUGCCCUGGAAUAAGGGUGCGAGAGUCCUAACUCUGUGCUCUGGGGGAAACUUCUCUGCUUCAGAUCACGUCGGGUCCGAGGGACCCCCGUUUGGAUUUUGGAGGUGUUGUUAUUACCAUCGGGUGACGGAAAUAGAAAUACCAGCUUGCAGAUACAAAGCGUCCACUUGCAGCCUGGGCGGCUUAAUCCUGACAACUCCUGGUCCCAUAGGUAUUGUCACUGCCCCACCUUACAUACAGGAUACAGGAGGAACAAUAGUUCGU